rnacentral:rRNA from 1 species
UACAGAGGUCCCAAGCGUUGUUCGGAAUUACUGGGCGUAAAGGGCGCGUAGGCGGCCUUCUAAGUCGGACGUGAAAUCCCUCGGCUUAACCGAGGAACUGCGUCCGAUACUGAAAGGCUUGAAUCCGGGAGAGGGAUGUGGAAUUCCAGGUGUAGCGGUGAAAUGCGUAGAUAUCUGGAGGAACACCGGUGGCGAAGGCGGCAUCCUGGACCGGUAUUGACGCUGAGGCGCGAAAGCUAGGGGAGCAAACGGG